CGCCGGAGCACGAUUUCUGUUCUCAUCCUGAAGCAAAGUUCUUAACCUGAAGCACUAUAUCUUGGUUCGCGGAGUCUGUAACCUGAAGCGUAUGUAACCCGAGGUACCACUGUAUUGGCUAUGCUUUCCUUUUCAUUGUCACUUGUCCACAAUCCGUGUGCUUUCCUGGAUACCACCUGUUUCAUUGAAUUACAGGUGCGUCGCUUUAGAAUUACUUCUGAAAGAGCAAAAAAGAAUCAGAGUGUUGAACUUCUACGUUUAAGUUUACACUAAGGACAUAGGAAUAAGGAAGCAGUUCAGUCAAUACUGGAAAUAUAGAAUUGUACUAUUUGGCUAUGGAAAACCUGGCAACCUAAGAUUGCACCUAUUAUUUUUCUAUUAUUCCCAAUAUCACAUCACCCAGAUUCCUCCCCUCCCCCAGCAAGGGAGAGAUAAGCAAUUUGAACCCUGGGGAUCCAAAGGUUUAUGCACAUUACGAGAUUUCUAUACCAACAAUCAACCUGUAUCUAUUAACCGUGUACCAUAUUUUUCCGUAUAUAACACGCCCCCAUGGAUAAGACGCCCUCUAUUUUUGGGGAUUCAAACUUAAGAAAAUGGAGGGAAAUUGCCCAGAGCUGUUGAGCUUUUUUCCACUUACAGUCUCUGGGGAGCAGAAACAAACAAGCCCACAUCACCAAUAUGCACUGACAAUGUAUAAGAUCCGCCCCCCCCCCAUUUUAAAAAUUACUUUUCUGGCACAAAAACCUUGUCUAAUACACAGAAAAGUAUGGUAAAUUUAACUUUGUCAAAUCUUAAUACUAACUGGAUUUAUUUUAAUCAAAUGAAGCUCUGAGACCCUUAACACAAUUUGAAACGUUCUAGAAGCACAAUGAGUAGGGAAAGGGAGGAAUAGUUUCUAAAACAGACUCUGUGUUGCUUAAUGUAACUUACAGAUCUAUGGAACCUCUUAAAAACAUGGUAACUGGAUACUAGCACACAAAUUCUUCCCAAGGAUUGGAAUAAAAUUUGGGGAUCGUGACCCUUAAAAUCUCUUUUGGAACGGACUUCCGGAACUGAUACUGCUUGACUUCCAAGGUACGACUGUAUAGUCUUCAUGGGAAAACCGCAUGUUAAACCUUCUGCAAUAUACCUUUCGCCAUUUUUCAUUUCUGUGUCAAUUAAACCCUUUAUACUUAACACUGUUGAUCUCCAUGACCCAUCUGCCGCUGAGGGGAGACAAGGCCCACAGCAAAUACUACAGUACUGUAUAGUAUGGGUACUUAGGCAAAGUCUGCUUAGGGCAGGGUUCAGCAACGUUUUUCAGCUGUAGGCCGAGCCACUGUCCCUCAGACCUUGUGGUGGGCCAGACUAUAUUUUGAAAAAAAAUAUGAACGAAUUCCUAUGCCCCACAAAUAACCCAGAGAUGCAUUUUAAAUAAAAGCACACAUUCUACUCAUGUAAAAACACGCUGAUUCCCAGACCGUCUGCGGGCCAGAUUGAGAAGGCAAUUGGGCUGGAUCUGGCCCCCGGGCCUUAGUUUGCUUACCCCUGGCGUAGGGGAACUGUUUGCCACCUUACAAGCACAUUCUGUACAAAGGCCAAAAUGGAUGCCAUUUACUCCAGGUUCAUGCCUAUCUCACCUCCCUCCCUCCAGUUACUAAAUCUCUCUAAUAGGUCUGGUAUACCAGUUUAGGAAAUCCUACCAAAUUGGCUUUUGGGUCUGGCGCUAGACCAAAUGCUUGGAGUGUGUCCCACUAAAAAGACGGCCAUCCUUUGUUCCCUAUAAUGUCUCAGAUUGCGCCUUUUCAAGCCCCGCUUUAACCCCCCCAAAUAUUGUACGUUUUUCACAUGCUACGCACUGAGCAAUCAAACCUUUAUUACUCAUUUAAUUUGGAAGCAAUUACUUGCUGCCUGGAUUUAUCUCACACACUUUUCAAAUCUCAAAGCUCUUUUAACAGUCGGUAUUUAAUGAGCAUAUGGCAAAUGUCCUCGUGAUUCCAAAUGUAAUACCUCCCUUUUAAUGAAGGGGGGAAUUAGAGCGAUGUUUCACAAUUCCCAGUUAUUUGGGUUGUUAGACGCUCCAGAGGUAUCAGCAUUAAGGCCCUGAGACUUCAUGAGGAGGUCGACGUGUUGACAUGGAAGUGGGAUGAUGUAGACUGUAAAUUGAACAUGUAAAAUAAAAGAGGCAGCCUAUUUAAUGAGAGGUGGGGAAAGCAGUCUCAAACAAAUAUAAAAGGCAGCACCAUGAACAAAUCAACCUAACAGGGUUAAUGUUUCCCCUGUAUAUUUAAAGUUCCUUCUCCUACCAACCAAGCCAGCUAGUAAUCCUCUCAAGCCCUUAUUCAAUCUCCCACGUUGUAUUUCUGCUACUGCUGAAUGUUACUGUAGUAUGAGGCUGAUUAUUUUGUGAAUAGGUGGGAUAAUUGGAAAUUCUUAUGCCUUUGGAGACAGAAAUCCAGGACUAGCCUGAAACUAAUAAGGGACAUGUGCAGACCAGGCGCUUUUUCCCUCUUGUUUGGCAAAAAAUUAUUUCAUUUACAAAUCCAUCUAACAUAGAUCCAUACUCAUGGGUAGCUCUGUAGAUACAAACUGUAGAUAACAAAUGCCUGUCAGUGAUCACUUUCUGUAGUUAUGCUGCUCCUGCAGGCCAAUCAGGUCCCUGAUUCACUUCCACCUGGAGUUGGAUUGGGUGGCUCCUGCGGACCAAUCAGACUGCUGCAUUCUGGACCCUAUUGAUCUAGGAUUCAGCUCAGUACAUAACAGGGGAGCACUCAGGAGAGGAAAACCUCCUCUCCUUCCUUCACCAAGAGCAGGCAGUUCAAUUCUGUAGGGUGCUCUUCACAAGUGGCUUCUCUGCAGGAAAGCCACUUUCAAAGCUGUGCCUGCAUCCUGCUGGAGCAAUGCCCUCCACUCUCUGAUCCUGCAGGAUGAGGGGGUCAGGUGGAAGAUGCAACUACUCGUCUGGUAGGUCUUGGCCUUUGUGCAAGGCUUCACACCUGACUCCUGCUUCCCCUUCCUGCUUGAGGCCCUGCCCCAACCACCACAGAUUGCUUUGAGCCAUCAAACCUGAACCGUAGUGAUCCGUGGCUGUCUCACCUUGAUUGAUGCCCAAUUUACUCCAAAUAAGCCCAAGCUGGCCCAGGACUCGGAUGAAUCUGGUGCACAGCCCUAGUAAGAGAACACCACUUGGCUCAGGAACUCUCCUGCAAUAUUCAGAGAAGUGCAAAAGAUGGCUGCAUUUCGGUUCUGCCAAAUGAACUAGAUUUGCCUAUGAAUGUCAACAGAAUCAAAGCUCUCCAGCAUCCCUACCUGCCAGCAGCACCGAGUCUGCAUGCAGAUGUCACCUGGGCUUUGCAGCUCCAGAACAAAAGGACUGGACUGUGCCCAAAAUGGUCACCAUGGAAGCCCAGUUCUACACACCGAAUAAAUCCUGUAAAUAUAAACGCCUACCUUGUUCUAGCUGCAACACAAUAUUGUUAUGUUAUGCCAGUUUUUUUAUAUAUGUGUGUAUAUAUGUAUAUGUAUAUGUAUAUGUAUAUGUGUGUAUAUAUAUAGUGUAUAUUUAUAGACUAUAUUUAUACACACACACACACACACACACACACACACACACACACACACACACUGCUUCUUAUCUCUGCCCCUUUUGAUAACUCUCAUGCUGAUGAAAUCACAGGAGUCUAGAAAAAUAAAUGAUUUCCUUUUACGCCUUCUUAGGCUGAAAUCCUUUGCAUACAUCCCUGGGAGGAAGCCCAGUCAGAUACAAUGGGACUUGCUUCUGAGUAAACAUUGCUUAGGAUUGUGCUUCAAACAUUCUCUGUACAGAUGACAGAUAAUGAAUGACACAAACAAAUUGCUUAAUGGAAAAGGAGUGGUGUUUAUCGCUCUGCAGAGGAAACAUAUCAGGAUGCCAAAGGGAUUGAUUUUUAUCUUAAGGCAUUAAUGACUUAAUGCAAAGGCAUUUCCUGAUUAUGGAAAAGGGGCUUGAGUAAAUGAAGACAAUGUUUAUUUUUCUUGGUGAUUAAGAAUUUAAACGCUGCCACUUUAAGAAUCAAAUUCUCCUUUUUUAAGCUCUCACUCCAAGCAUUUGAAACACCUUGGUCCGCUGUGCUUGGCCCACCCACCAAACAAAGGCCAUGAUUGGCUGGUUCAGAUAAGGAUUUUUGACGGGCAAUUCCACAAGACUGGCUGAGGUAGAUUCCAGUGGCCAGCUGCAAGAGAAAAUUGUUUUCUCUGUGCCCAGGGGGAGCUGCAUCCGGCCACAGCUGCUACCCAUCCAGAAUUCGGGUGAGGUCCCCUUAUUUUCUGCCACAUCAUCAAUAACACCAUCCUUUUCAAAUAGUAGAAGGUGAUGUCCUCUCCCCCUCUUUUGCAGAAAUAAUUCCCGCUACCACCUUAAAUAAUCAAUCACCCACCCAACCAAAUAAUUUCCACAAGCAAAGAUGAUGUCUGACAUUUCCAAGCUCAGCUUUGAAUUCUUAGUGGUGAAUAUAGUUUAUCACAUAUGCUUUUCUUAUACAAAAGGGGAAUUGUCUCUUCCGCAAGUCCUUCAACAAAUUUGGGAUAAGUAACAUCUAACCAAGGGACGCGGGUGGCACUGUGGGUUAAACCACAGAGCCUAGGACUUGCCAAUCAGAAGGUCGGCGGUUCGAAUCCCUGCGACGGGGUGAGCUCCCGUUGCUCGGUCCCUGCUCCUGCCAACCUAGCAGUUCGAAAGCACGUCAAAGUGCAAGUAGAUAAGUAGUUACCUCUCCGGCGGAAAGGUAAACGGCGAUUCCAUGCGCUGCUCUGGUUCGCCAGAAGCGGCUUAGUCAUGCUGGCCACAUGUAGGCCGGCUCCCUUGGCCAAUAAAGCGAGAUGAGCGCCGCAACCCUAGAGUCGGUCACGACUGGACCUAAUGGUCAGGGGUCCCUUUACCUUUUUUAACAUCUAACCGGUUCAACAUUUCACUUGAUGUAAAAUAAAGCCUUUCUGUUCUUGGUACUCUUUGUGCUUCUGAUGGUUCAGUCAAGGCUUAUGUUUCUGUAUACAGUGGUACCUCUGGUUACAUACUUAAUUUGUUCCGGAGGUCCGUUCUUAACCUGAAACUGUUCAUAACCUAAAGCACCACUUUAGCUAAUGGGGCCUUCUGCUGCCGCUGCUCGCUGGAGCACAAUUUCUGUUCUCAUCCUGAAGCAAAGUUCUUAACCCGAGGUAAUAUUUCUGGGUUAGCGGAGUCUGUAACCUGAAGUGUAUGUAACCUAAAGCAUAUGUAACCUGAGGUACCACUGUAUCUUGCAAGCCAUGGGCCUCUUCUUCUCUCAUUCCUUAUGAUGGUACUUUCCAAUUACCUUUCUGCAUCUCAUUAUAAAUAUCCGGCUUUAUUAUUUUUUCUUCUGAAUGUAACAUCUCAUGCCAGCCUUGGUUGGGUUUAGUUUUUAUUUGUUUGUCUCAUGAGGUUCUAUUUUGUCCUUUGGGUUAUAUGGAUAAAAUUCAAUAAAAAUAGAUUAAAAAACCCUUAUACUCUUCUUAAAAGGUAAAGGUACCCCUGCCCGUACGGGCCAGUCGUGUCCGACUCUGGGGUUGCGCGCCCAUCUUGCUUAAGAGGCCGGGGGCCAGCGCUGUCCGGAGACACUUCCGGGUCAGGUGGCCAGCGUGACGAAGCUGCUCUGGCGAGCCUGCACCAGCGCAGCACACGGAAACGCCGUUUACCUAUAAAGCGGUACCUAUUUAUCUACUUGCACUUAAGGGUGCUUUCGAACUGCUAGGUGGGCAGGAGCUGGGACCGAACGAUGGGAGCUCACCCCACCGCGGGGAUUCGAACUGCCGACCAUGUGAUUGGCAAGUCCUAGGCGCUGAGGUUUUACCCACAGCGCCACCCGCGUCCCUAUACUCUUCUUACAGGACCUAAAAUGCAAAUGUUGCAGAACAGGAGGUUCAUGUUGCAAAUUCUCCAAAACAUAAUGAAAAAUUGAUUUCUUUUUCCGAAAGGACAUAAAAAGCAGAUGCUACCAAACUUAAAAUAUUAUUGACCUUUCAAAUGUUUUUUUAAAAAAAGAGAAACAUAUACUGAAAUUACAACAACAACAAAUUAAAUUUGUAUGCCACCCUUCAUCUCUGUAGAUCUCAAGUACAUAACAUAAAAAUACAAGAUAAAAACACAAAAUACAUAAUAAAAACAAGAACCAAAAGAAAACCACAAACUAAUACCCCCCUCCCAACCUCGUCCCGCUGGAAUGUGUCUAUAAAAGAAAUAGCUGUCUGGCAGUAGCUUAUUUUCCUCUCCACCCCAGUAACCUGUAAAGAUAUUUAUCCUUUUUAAUAUGAAGUUUUUCAGUCACUUGAAAGACUUCCACAUACUGCUACAGUGGCAUUACCCAUUUUUAAUUUUUUGAUUCAUUCCUCAUUCAGAGGUAUGGCUCCCAAGUAAAUUUUUGUAUCACUGAUUGGACAACUGCAUUUUGUAGUAUAGAGUUCCAUCCCUUAAUCUCCAGUUAAACAGAACUGAACAAAAUAAUAAUAAUGAUCCCAGUCUGUGUCAUUAAGAAAUGCCAUCAGCUAUUAACCUCAGAAUUCUCCUCAAUUUACAUGAGGAUUAAACUUGAGUCCUCCAUUUUUAACCCAGACUUCCUAAGCAGGGGCAAAAAUAAUAAUAAAAAUCUGACACCAACAUAUUUGUUUUACUCUAUAUCCUGAGAAAUCAGAUGGCUGCUUUGCAAAACUAUGCAAAAAAAGGUAAUCUGUUUCUUGCCAGAUGGGAUCCCUCCACUGCGUCUUUCCAUAGCCUCAUUAGGCAAAGCUCUAUAUUAUAGGUUAAUCUUGCACUCUAAUGGAGCACUGUGUGAAAUUAUAAGCAUAAAGCAGAUAAGUAUUUUGAGUAUCCUCACUUUAUUUUAUGCAAUGAUAAGAACUAACCACUAUUUACACAUACUUUAUAGAUAGUGGUUUCCUAGUCUGCGUUUCUAUUUUACACUUUUGGAAGUAAGCAGGAAGACAAGCAUGCAGUUCUGUGACAUUGUGACCCCUUACUAGAUUGCUUCACCUGGUCAGGAGAAGACACCAAUAUGAGGGAUGGGAACAAGGCAACUGAGAAAUUGGAGGCUUUGUUGUGUGACAAAACUGUGCUAUGCCACUGAAAUGGAAAAAGAACAAAAUGUGAGUCUCCUCACCCUUUUAAAGUCUAUUGUGUAGAUGCGGAGAGAGCACAUCCAUCUGUUAUCUGUUUUCACAUUCUUUUAUUUAUGAAACCAAAUCAGCCAGUGAAUUUAUAUAGAAAUGGAGGAACCAAGUCAAAAUGGAAUCCCAACCAACUAUUGUUACCUGUCUGAUGACUUUCCGACACUAUGCAGAGAUGAUUCCCCUCCUCUCCUAUGCAUAUAUAAGGACUCAUGGCAACCUAAAAAUAGCUCACCAACUUUGCCCAAAAAAGCUCACCAACUGUCUGGAUUUUCACUGUUUGAAAUAUGGCAACCCUACCCUGAUAUGUGUUGUCUGUGUCCUCUUAUCUACUUGCUUGUUUCCUAUUUUGAAUUUUUAUUGUUUUAUUCUUAUUAGAUUGUAAGCAGCUUUGAGCCUUAAAAAAAAAUGAAAAAGCUGGCUAGAAAGACUUUAAAAAAAUAAUAAUUUGACGAGUUCAUAAAAACCUGCAAAACAUGGUGCUUAAAUAUCUUGUUUCCUUGUCUUAUACCUUGGAGUUUACCCUUUGCCCAAAUAUGAAUGGGUGGGUUUUGUUCCUUGAUGGUCUAUUUGUCAUUAAGAAGUGUGGAACCUACAACCAAGUGUUGUGCUAUAUAACCUUUAUCCUAGUAGCAGGGCUCAGGGUUCCUGCCAGUAAGCAAGCAAAAUAAAAAAUAAAAAUAAAAAAGUAGAUCAUGAGAAAGUGGUGGGACAGUUGCGGUUACAGUUUAUUUUACAGUUGAAAGUAGCGUUUAGACCGGCAAACACAGGUAAAUAAUAUUGUAAGCAUUGCAGUGAUUUGGGUUUGCAGUGAUUUGUAAUUUUCUUUUUUUAAUGUCAAAUAUAUUUAUUAUCUUUCUUCCAAGAGCAGCACAUGUUUCACACAGGAUGAAAAUCUAAGGCUUAUGCAAAUCCUUAGCCCUCAACAUUGAAAAAUAUAUAUGCUUAUAUAUGAAGAAUACAAAUGCUGUAAUAAAUUAAGCCUUGAUGCAACAACAUGAGUUAACAAAAACUCCAAAAAUCCUCAACAGUUGAUCCUGAAACAUUUGUUUUUUUGUGCAUCUGUAUACACAAAGUGAUUUUCAUUGUAGUUUUCAUUUUUAAAUUACCUAACAUAGCUAGUUAAACUAAAAAGAAGAAAGGCAGAAAAGAAAGUACAGAGCAAAAAUCAUAUACACCAAACUGUGUUGUAAACCUCAGGAUCUAUUUUGCCAUAUGUUUUACUAUCUGUUGGCACUCACUACCGGAGUUCGCGAACAGAGGGACUGAUGUCGAUGUAUCUCACCAAGAUGAAACAUUCAUUCAUAGGGAAAGCUUCACGAAGCAGCUAAGAGAUCACAUGAAGGAUGACGCUUGGUUUUAGCACAAAUUGAAACCUUCCAUUUAAAGAUGGAAAGCAAAACCUGCACCUGACAGCAAGACACCCACAGAUUGUCAUGUUGAUAAAAUACUUGCUUUCAGAAUGUGCCAAGGCACUAAGUAAUUAAUGAAGAAAAAGACAUUGUCGUUCAGGGCAAAGUACAUGGGAAAGCACAUACUGUUGAGAUGUAUGACACUUGCUCUUGAUAGUAUUUUUCAACUAACCAGAAUAAAACUUAGGGAGACAAAUAAUGUGGCCAUCUCAUACCCCUCAACUAUCCCAGUAAAACCGGGACUUCCUGUUUUUUCUCAUGAGAGCAUGGUCCUCACCACUAUCAUGAUCUCACACAAUCUUAAGCUUAAACCAUCCUAAUUGGCUAUCUCUACACAUACUUUACAUUAUUAUUAUUAUUAUUAUUAUUAUUAUUAUUAUUAUUCUGCCCGGCGGUUCAUAUAAAAAGAUAGCAGUAUUUAAAAUUAAAAUAAAAGCAAUAACCCAAUAAUACACCCCCUCCAAAAAAGAGCCACAUUUUAAAAGGGUAUGGGAAGUUGAUCAGGUCAACCAAAGGCCUGGUUAAAAAGGAAUGUUUUUGCCUGGCACCUAAAGGUGUAUAAUGAAGGUGUCAGGCGAACUUCCCUGGGGAGAGCAUUCCACAGACGGGAGGCCACUGCAGAGAAGGCCCGUUCUCGUGUUGCCCCCCCUCCAGACCUCAUGAGGAGGAGGCACACAAAGAAGGGCCUCAGAAGAUGAUCUCAGGGUCUGGGUAGGUUCAUACAGAUAGAGGCGGCCCUUGAGGUAUUGCAGUCCUGAGCCGGUUAAGGCUUUAUAGAUCAAAACCAGCACUUUGAAUUGGGCCCAGAAUCGCUCCUGUGUCCUGCACAAUGCCAUAGCAACAGAUAUAUGUAAGCAAAGUUAUAAAUUUGUACCAUAGAGAAUGUUUCAUUUCCCUGUCAGAAGAAUGUCUGAGUCCAGUUUAAUUAUUGUUCUCCUGGCUUUAAUGCCACCCUCCCAGUCUUCUGCUGAAGGCCAGCGAGAGGCUCGUGAUGGGUAUUAUGCUAGCAAAAAGACAGAAAUGCAUCUUUUAUUCACUAAUUGGGGAUGCAGGAAGAAUUAGCAAGCUGUCGGGGCUUCAGACUAGUUGACCUUGUUCUUUCAAUGUCUUGCAAUAUUAGAGUCAUUUUGCAAAGCAAGCAAGCUUCUUAUACUGUAUGAGGAGAAAAGCAUAAAGUAAGAAGCAUGUAGAAACAGGGAGAAAUUGGGGUCACAAGUCCAUUCAUUGGAAAAGUACAAUUACGUCAUAACUUAAAGCAGAGUGGGGUGCAGAGUAUAGCUCUGUUGGAUCUACUUUGUAUUUUACUAGAACCCCAAGUUCUGGUCAUCAGAGCCAGAUUUAAAAAGACAUGUCCUUUCAAUGAAAGCAUAAGAUGCCUCUGAGCACAUUCUGAGCCUAAGAAUUUAUUUUCAGCCGAAUUCAUGGUCCUUGCACACAAAGGUCCACUCCUGGUAUUAGCUCUCCUUUCCUUACAGCUGUCUAAUUUAGGUGGGGAAAGAUGGUUUGCAGUUGCUAUGGUUAAACAACUGGGAAUCAGAAAUACUUGCUGAUCUACUGCUAAUCACUCUGAGAUCUACCAGUAGAUCUACCUUCUUCCUAGCCAUAGCUUAAAUGUUCUUUUAGGAAGAAAAUUGGGCCCUCCCAGGUAGCUUUCAUAGAAUAGAAUCAUAGAAUCAUAGAGCUGGAAGAGACCACAAGGGCCAUCGAGUCCAACCCCCUGCCAAGCAGGAAACACCAUCAGAGCACCCCUGACAUAUGGUUGUCAAGUCUCUGCUUAAAGACCUCCAAAGAAGGAGACUCCACCACACUCCUUGGCAGCAAAUUCCACUGUCGAACAGCUCUUACUGUCAGGAAGUUCUUCCUAAUGUUUAGGUGGAAUCUUCUUUCUUGUAGUUUGGAUCCAUUGCUCCGUGUCCGCUUCUCUGGAGCAGCAGAAAACAACCUUUCUCCCUCCUCUAUGUGACAUCCUUUUAUAUAUUUGAACAUGGCUAUCAUAUCACCCCUUAACCUCCUCUUCUCCAGGCUAAACAUGCCCAGCUCCCUUAGCCGUUCCUCAUAAGGCAUCGUUUCCAGGCCUUUGACCAUUUUGGUUGCCCUCCUCUGGACACGUUCCAGUUUGUCAGUGUCCUUCUUGAACUGUGGUGCCCAGAACUGGACACAGUACUCCAGGUGAGGUCUGACCAGAGCAGAAUACAGUGGCACUAUUACUUCCCUUGAUCUAGAUGCUAUACUCCUAUUGAUGCAGCCCAGAAUUGCAUUGGCUUUUUUAGCUGCCGUGUCACACUGUUGGCUCAUGUCAAGUUUGUUGUCAACCAAGACUCCUAGAUCCUUUUCACAUGUACUGCUCUCAAGCCAGGUGUCCCCAUCUUGUAUUUGUGCCUCUCAUUUUUUUUGCCCAAGUGCAAUACUUUACAUUUCUCCCUGUUAAAAUUCAUCUUGUUUGUUUUGGCCCAGUUCUCUAAUCUGUCAAGGUCGUUUUGAAGUGUGAUCCUGUCCUCUGGGGUGUUAGCCACCCCUCCCAGUUUGGUGUCAUCUGCAAAUUUGAUCAGGAUGCCCUUGAGUCCAUCAUCCAAGUCGUUGAUAAAGAUGUUGAAUAAGACCGGGCCCAAGACAGAACCCUGUGGCACCCCACUAGUCACUCUUCUCCAGGAUGAAGAGGAACCAUUGAUGAGCACCCUUUGGGUUCGGUCAGUCAGCCAGUUACAAAUGCACUGAGUGGUAGCAUAGUCAAGACCGCAUUUUACCAGCUUCUUUACAAGAAUAUCAUGGGGACCUUGUCAAAUGCCUUGCUGAAAUCAAGGUAGGCUACAUCCACUGCAUUCCCUUCAUCUACCAGGCUUGUAAUUCUGUCAAAAAACGAGAUCAGGUUAGUUUGACAUGACUUAUUUUUCAGAAAUCCAUGCUGACUAUUGGUGAUCACAGCAUUCCUUUCUAGGUGCUCACAGACUGUUUGCUUAAUGAUCUGCUGCAGAAUCUUCCCUGGUAUUGAUGUCAGACUGACUGGGCGGUAAUUAUUUGGGUCCUCUCUUUUCCCCUUUUUGAAAAUAGGGACAACAUUUGCCCUCCUCCAGUCUGCCGGGACUUCGCCUGUUCUCCAGGAAUUCUCAAAGAUGACUGCCAGUGGUUCUGAGACCACAUCUGCCAGUUCUUUUAAUACUCUUGGAUGCAGUUCAUCUGGCCCUGGAGACUUGAAUACAUCUAAACUAGCCAAGUAUUCUUGUACUAUCUCCUUAGUUAUUCUGGGCUGUGUUUCCUCUGCUGAAUCAUUUGCUCCAAAUUCUUCAGGUCGGGCAUUGUUUUCUUUAUCGGAGAAGACUGAGGCAAAGAAGGCAUUGAGGAGUUCAGCCCUUUCUGUGUCCCCUGUUUGCAUUUCACCAUCUUCUCCUCUGAGUGACCCCACUGUUUCUUUGUUCUUCCUUUUGCUACUGAACAUACCCAUAAAAGCCUUUUUGUUGCUUUUAACUUCUCUAGCAAGCCUGAGUUCAUUCUGUGCUUUAGCUUUUCUGACUUUGUGUCUACACGUGCUGGCUAUUUGUUUGAAUUCCUCUUUGGUGGUUUCCCUUUUUCCAUUUUUGUACACAUCCUUUUUUAAUCUUAACUCAGUUAAAAGUUCUUUAGAUAGCCACCCUGGCUUCUUUAGGCACCUUCCAUGUUUCCGUCUCAUUGGUAUUGCCUGAAGUUGUGCUUUUACUAUCUCCCUCUUAACGAACUCCCACCCAUCAUGAACUCCCUUUCCUUUUAGUAUUACUGUCCAUGGGAUCUCACCCAGCACUUCCCUAAGUUUUAUGAAGUCGGCUUUCUUAAAGUCAAGAAAUUGAGUCCUAGUAUGCUUGGCUGCUCCUUUCCGCUGUAUAGUAAACUUCAGAAGAGCAUGAUCACUCGCGCCUAAUGAUCCUUAGACUUCUAUCCCACUAACCAGGUCAUCAACAUUGGUUAGGACCAGAUCUAAAAUGGCUGUUCCUCUUGUUGCUUCUCCCACUUUCUGGACAAUGAAGUUGUCUGCAAGGCCAGUGAGGAAUCUGUUUGACCUUAUGCUCUUGGCUGAGUUUGACAUCCAACAAAUAUCCGGGUAAUUGAAAUCCCCCAUUACUACUAUCUCCCUUCCUUUUGCAUGCUUGGCCAUCUGUUCCAGGAAGGCAUCAUCUAUGUCCUCCGUUUGGCUUGGGGAUCUAUAGUAAACUCCCACAAUGAGGUCACUGUUCUUCUUCUCUCCUUAAUUUUGACCCAAAUGCUCUCACUUUGGCUUUGAGGUUCUAAAUCUUGGAUCUCUUCACAGGUAUACACAUCCCUGACAUAUAACGCCACUCCUCCUCCUUUCUUGUCUGGUCUGUUUCUCUGAAAUAGAUUGUAUCCCUCCAUUAUGACAUUCCAAUCGUGGGACUUAUCCCACCAGGUUUCAGUGAUGCCUAUUAUGUCAUAUUUAGUUUGCUGUACCAAGAGCUCAAGCUCAUCUUGUUUAUUUCCCAUGCUUUGCGCAUUAGUGUACAGACAUUGAAGUCCAUUAAUCACUUAAUCCUUCCACUUCAGAGUGCCUCUCUGUUUAGCUAGCUGUAGUACUGAGAGAAAUACCAACUAGAAAAGGUCCUUAGGGUUAGAGAUUCUUCAGAAAUAGUCAGUGUGUCCCAGACAGGGAUUUUCUCCUGCCGAAACUUAGUUCUAGCACCAGGUGACCACAAACCUAGACCAGGGCCAGUGGCAAGUGGAAGAAGGAGGGGAGGAGGAGGCAGAAGAGAGAAGCCCAGACUGGUGCAGGUUCAUUGGGGCCUGCAACUGAAUAGACAAAGCAAGGGUGUCAAUAACUCACCUAGCGGACAUUUCUGUCUUUCUCCACACCCUUCUGACAAGCUUCCAGGUGUCAAAAGGGCUUGUGCUGUAGUAGAGUGUCGGAGAUCAUCUUUGGCCAGAGCAAAUACCUUAAGGGCAUCUCAAGAGCAACUUUAAAAACACUGGGGCUGGUACAGUGCCAGUGAUGAUAUAUGGACAAUUUAUACAAAUGGGAAAGUCCAAGGAGCUCAUUAAGUGCAAGUGAUCAUUCAGGUGGUCAUUCAGUGAAUAGUGAAAGCCUGCUUCAGUUUGAGUUUUAAAAGGGGAAAUUGAGCUCUCACCACCACCACCACCACCAAAAUAAAAUAUACAAAAUACAAAUUGCUUGGGUAACAAUAUGUUGUUGUAGCUGACACUUUUGAAAUAACGGUGGUACAAAGAAAUAGCGGAAAUUCUUAGUUAGAAAAGAACAGUUUAGCUUAGUUGCGUGGGAGGUAUAACAUCUGAUGGGUUUUAAGAUGCUGCAUCUAUUCUUAUACUCUGACUUGUUACUCAGUUAGUAACAAGUGUGCUAAUAUUAUGAUACCAAAGAGUCCUGUGACAAACAGUGAGUUGUGGCAUAAGGCUCCACAGAUUACAAUCCCCUCCAUUGGAUUCAUGAAGUAUUAUCCUGAGUUGAAAGUUACUGUCAGGGAACUGCCAUCGGAAGGAAGGGAGGUGAAAGGGCUCACACAGGUUGGGAGAGACUCAGCAGCUGAAGAGGGAACCAGUAGGGGGAGAGGAGCUGAGCUGAGGGAAAGUGAGCUGGAGGGAUGGCUCAGAGACACUUCCAGCGAAAACAGUGGGGAGGUUUCAGGACCUCCUGUAGGAACACCCACUCCUCGCCGGAAACUGUCACGCAGAGAGUCCAGAAGACGUGUUUCCGUUAAGGAGCUUUUAUGUUGGAAGCGAUUCCAAAGCAACCACUGUCGGAAUCUGCUAGUGACUAGAGGAGCCAUGUCUGAGGGGCUCCGUCACAGACAGAGGUUUGUGGACUUGAACAAACUCUGAGGGGAUACUAUUUUACGCACAAGCAGCUCAUCAUCCCAUCACAGCAUUCCGACAGUCUUUGAAAGCAGCUUGUGCAGGAGAAGGCAUCAUGAGCAACCCAGCCGGAACCGGAGAAGCAGGAGCUGGAGCGGGUCCAAGCCUGGAAGAAAGGUACCGGGUGUUGGAGGUCCAGCUAGCGCUGCAGACGGCGAGGCUUGAGGAGAGGAGGGCUCAGGAUGCAGACAAAAGGGGAAAGCCACCCAGCUCGCCAGAAAGGUACCAGGAUUGGUGCAGAAGUUUGGGGGGGAGCCCAAAGACUAUCAUGGCUUUCGGACAGAGAUGCAAUAUGCCCUCAAUCUGCAGUUUGAUGAAUUCCCUGACGAGGAAUCACGAGUGGCUUUCGUGAUUGGGCAUCUUGAAAAGGGGGCGAGAGACUGGGUUAGACCCCUGAUGGCAGCGAAUAGUGACGUCCUAAAGGACACGAUGAAGUUCUUUCGCGCCAUGGAUCUGAUGUUUUCCAGCGAUAUUGAACAGGGAGUGGUGCGCAGACAGUUAAUGGCUUGCAAACAGGGGAGCCGAUCUGUCCGUGAGUACUGGACUGAGUUCACCAUGCUGGUUCACAGAUUGGGGUGGGACUUAUCGGCGGAACCCAUUCAAAUGCUCUUUGAAGAAGGGCUUUCUUCGGCUGUGAAAGACGAACUUUCCCGGGCGCCCAGCUGACCAAAUCAGCGCUGACCAUAGGAGCGCGCCAGGAGGCGAGAGCAUUGGAGAGGCGGGAAGGGAAGGGGGAACGUUGGAAGGAGUUCCGCAUUCCAGACAUUCCAGAGCCAACUUUCCCGCCGGCAGAGCCGAUGGAAAUCGGAACAGCGCGCGCGCGCAGUUUCAAAGCCCAGUGAGGGGGAAAGAAGGAGGGAAAACGCGCCCGGAAAUGCUAUCUCUGCCAACAGCCAGGUCACUUUGCCAGAGUCUGCCCCCAGAGGAAGGAAUGGCAAGGGAUGGUAGGAGCUGUGGAGGGAAGAGAGGAAGAAAUACCGGAGCAAGUAAAAGCCAACGCCUGGCUGCCACCGUCGGGGCACAGCAGCCAGGCCAAAGAGCAGUGAGAGUGCCCACGCCAGAACCUCCUAAACCCGCCCUAGUGAUAGAAGUGGCGCUAGAGCUGCCAAACGGACACCCUCUAAAGAUAAAGGCGCUGUUGGACUCAGGCAGCUCCUGCAAUUUCAUGAGCAAAGAGUUUGCAGCUGAACACCAGAUACAGACGAUCCUUUAAGCAACCCCUGCAGGUGACCACGAUCGAUGGCAGGGAGCUGUUGGGAGGAGAAGUCAGCUUGCAGACCGUCCCAAUGAUAAUGAAGGUGGCAAGGCACACCGAACUGAUAGCGUUUAAUGUGGCCACCUUGGGAGGAGCUCCCAUUAUAUUGGGGAUGAGCUGGCUAGCGUUACAUGAUCCGCUGGUGGGCUGGCAUCAGAGAGUGGUUUCUUUUGGUUCAGCACAUUGCUUAGAACACUGCAAAGAGGGAAAGGGUUUGGCAGGGGCCCAAGCCACCCUAGCAGGGACUGAAGUAACGGAGAACGUGAAGGUACCACGACAAUACGCAGAUCUCCGCGACGUCUUCAGCGAAAGGGAAGCUGACCAACUACCCCCGCAUAGACCCUUUGACUGUCAAAUCAAUUUACUCCCUGGGGCACAGCUCCCUGUAGGCAAGCUGUACGCCAUGUCAGACAGAGAGAUGCAGGAGCUAAGAGAGUUCAUUGACAAGAACCUGAAGAGAGGGUUCAUCAGAGAGUCCAGGGCGGUGGGGGCAGCCCAGUGUUUUUGUGGAUAAAAAACACGAACAAGCCGAGGCUGGUGUGUGACUUCAGGGCCUUAAAUGCAGUGUCAGAACCAGUGGCCUUCCCUAUGCCCAGGAUUGACGACAUUUUGACAAGGGUGCGGAAGGGAAAGAUUUUCACAAAGCUGGACCUAAGGGGGGCGUACAACCUGAUACGAAUAAGGAAGGGGGAUGAAUGGAAAACCACCAUGUUCACCCCUUUAGGGGCAUUUGAAUAUUUGGUUAUGCCCUUCGGCCUACAAGCAGGCUCCGCAUGCUUUCAAUCGUUUAUGAACCACGUCCUGGGGCCUUUGCUUUACAAGAAUUGUGUGGCCUUCUUAGACGACGUGUUGGUGUAUUCUGAGAAUGAGGAGCAGCAUGUGAGAGACGUCAGAGAAGUGUUGAGCAGGCUGCAAGCCAACCAGCUGUGGGUGAAACUGGAGAAGUGUCAGUUUCAUACCAAGGAGGUGGAAUUCCUGGGGUAUCGCCUGUCAGACAAGGGAUUGGCCAUGGAUCCCGGCAAGGUCCAGGCGGUGCUGGAAUGGAAAACACCCAAAACAAGGAAGGACGUGCAGAGGUUCCUAGGAUUUGGGAACUUCUAUCGUAAGUUCAUCCGAAACUUUGCCCACCUGACGGCGCCCAUUACGGACUGUCUCAGCAGUAAGAAGAAGUUCGUUUGGACUGAGGAGGCGGAGUGAGCAUUUGAGGAACUAAAAAGGGCCUUCGCCUCGGAACAACAACUCCUGCAUGUGGAUUUACAAAAACCGAUGAGAGUGGAAACUGACGCAUCAGACAGAGCGAUUGGGGCGGUGCUUCUGCAGCCAGGGAAGGAGGAGUCAGAGUGGAGACCGUGUGCUUUUUUCGCGAAAGCUGAACAAAUCCGAGAGGAACUACACGGUGUAUGACCGAGAACUACUAGCCAUUCAUGAGGCGUUCCGGAGAUGGAGGCACCUGCUAAUUGGCGCACAACAUAAGGUGCAAGUGUGCACUGACCACAAGAACCUAGAGUAUUGGAGGACGGCACGAGUGCUCAACCAACGGCAAGUGAGAUGGGCCCAGGAGUUCUCCAAAUUUAACUUUGAGAUUGGUUACGUGCCAGGCCCAGAGAACAUUAGGGCGGACGCUCUCUCACGCAAACCUGAAUAUUUGGAGGGGAGGGAGCACCCGAAGAGAGACAUGUCAUUCCAGAGGACCGCUGGGUGUGUGGGGCGGCAUUGGUGGGACAAAGAGAACUGGUAGAGGAAACAGAGAAUGAUGAAUACGCCCAGAAUAAGCUCAGAGGUCUUAGGGGUGAGGGAGAGGAACCAGGGGUUUCGAGGAAAGAAAUGGAGCUUUGUAUUACAAAGGGGCACUGUAUAUCCCUGAAGGAGACUUAAGGGGAGGGUACUCAAGCAGUUGCACGACAGCCCUACGGCGGGGCAUUUUGGACAACACAAAACCAUGUGGUUGGUCACCAGGGAAUUUUGGUGGCCUAAGGUGAGGGAAGAUGUACGUGAGUAUGUAAGAGGGUGCGAGCAAUGCCAGCGAGCCAAAGGGGAAAGGCGGGCGCCGGCGGGGCUAUUAGAACCCUUACCAACCCCAGAACGACCUUGGGAGGCAGUGUCGAUAGAUUUUAUGACUGAUCUGCCGAAGUCCAAAGGGAAAACAGCCAUCAUGGUGGUGGUAGACCUACUAACAAAGAUGUGCCACUUUGUAGCUUGCUCGCAUGCAGUCACGGCGGAAGAGACAGCGAAGUUAUUUGUAGAACACAUUUUUAGGUUGCACGGGGUGCCAUUGAGGGUGGUCUCAGACCGAGGAAAACAAUUUACUUCCAGGUUCUGGAGGAAGCUCAUGAGCUUACUGCAGGUGGAGGUCAAUUUUUCGACUGCCCGGCACCCUGAAACCAACGGGCAGGCGGAAAGAGCAAACGGUGUCCUCCAGCAAUACCUGAGGUGUUAUGUCAAUGACAGAGAGAAUGACUGGGUAGAAAAGUUGGCGCUGGCGGAAUUUGCCUACAACAAUGCCGAGAAUGUGUCCACAGGGAUGAGCCCCUUCUUGGCUAAUUAUGGGUGUCAUCCCAGGGCUUUCCCAGGGGGAGAUGGGGAGAGAUGGAGCGUCCCGGCAGCCGAGCAUUUUGUGGAAGAAAUGGAAGCAAUCCAUCGUCAGCUCCAACUCAACUUAGAAAGGGCGAAGGAAGAAUACAAGAGGCAGGCAGACAAGAACCGAAGGGAAGGUGAAACCAUAAGGGUGGGAGAUAGGGUGUGGCUGUCAACCCAAGGGUUGCCGCUCAAAGGAGGUUGUAAGAAAUUAAGACCCAGGAGGUUGGGUCCCUUUGAGGUCAUUCAACAGGUCAACCCAGUGGCUUUCAGGCUCCGGUUACCCAACCACAUGAAACUGCACCCAGUAUUUCACAGGUCGUUACUGUCACCGUACGAAGGGGGACGAGAAGGGAUGGCCACUGGGACCGGUCAUAGAAGAAAGAGAAUGCAGCAGCCAUGUGGCAGAAAUCCUCGACGCCAGGUGGAAGGGGGAUCAGGUGGAGUAUUUGGUAGCGUGGGAAGGAGAACCGGAGUCAGAAAACACUUGGGUAAUGGCCGAAGAUAUCAAUGACGAGGUAUUGAUAGAAACGUUCCAUCAAAGGUUCCCAAGGAAACCUCAGCCUGUGGAGAGGUUCCGGAGGGAAUACUUUGGGACCACUGAUGAGGAGGAGGAGUUGGAAGGAUUCCCGGACUCGGAAGGGGAAGGGGAGAUGGACUCUGAGGAGGAGGAGUACUUCGAGACCAGGAACCGCAACAGGUGGAGAGAAGUGUUCGAGACAUCGGAAGAUGAAGGAAGUUCAUUCCGGGUUUUGCCUCCUCACCGCCCGUAGAGGAGGGGGCGAGAGGGGUGAAAGGGGCCCUGGAGGGGAGGUGGAUGUCAGGGAACUGCCAUCGGAAGGAAGGGAGGUGAAAGGGCUCACACAGGUUGGGAGAGACUCAGCAGCUGAAGAGGGAACCAGUAGGGGGAGAGGAGCUGAGCUGAGGGAAAGUGAGCUGGAGGGAUGGCUCAGAGACACUUCCAGCGAAAACAGUGGGGAGGUUUCAGGACCUCCUGUAGGAACACCCACUCCUCGCCGGAAACUGUCACGCAGAGAGUCCAGAAGACGUGUUUCCGUUAAGGAGCUUUUAUGUUGGAAGCGAUUCCGAAAGCAACCACUGUCGGAAUCUGCUAGUGACUAGAGGAGCCAUGUCUGAGGGGCUCCGUCACAGACAGAGGUUUGUGGACUUGAACAAACUCUGAGGGGAUACUAUUUUACGCACAAGCAGCUCAUCAUCCCAUCACAGUUACAUAUAUAUGCAUGGUUUGUGGGCACAUAUUAUUAUAAUGAAGGAAGAGGGAAACUGAACAAGUUUUGCACCAAGGGAGGAAAUAUGAGGAUAUUAAACCCAUCAAAGCUAGAUGGGUGAAUGGGCCCAUUCCCAAUACCAUUUGCAUCAGUGUUAUGUGCAUCCAUCACAUUUGACUGUAAUUAUCUCCACAUUUGGCUGCAAUUAUCCCUACAAAUUACUAAAUGGCAAUGCAGAUGUAAUAUGUCUAGGAUGCCUCUGAAGCCUCCUGGAAUUAUGGCUAAGUGAAUGAAAACACGGGGAAGACCAAUGGCGGGGUGGAAGAGAGACAAACAGAUCUCUCAGAAUGGAAAAUGGAAAAAAGACACCGGCUAUCUGAAAAUGCUAAGAUAUACACUGAUAUAAGAAAUGGAGAGUAUAUUGGAGAAUGGAAACCCACUGUUACCAGAGAUGCAAUUGUUGCAGUGCCAUCGAUUUUAAUUUUGAGUUUUUUUGUGGAUAAGAACUGCCUCAACUAUUGAUUUAUAUGACACAGGUUUCAUGAAUAAGGCUGGUGCCAAAAUGAGUACUUGGAGAAGCAUCCUAGCAACAGAGCAAUCAUUCGGUUUGUUAUUUCAGCAGACUUUGAAUUCAUUGUUGGAGCUAUGCUCAUCUUUAUUACCAGUUUGCUUGCUUUAGAUGUUCUCAGCAUAUUUUUUCCUCACAGCGAUGGAAGAGCAGCAGUGGAGCCAGAUCUAAAAUAUAAUUUGCUGAUUUGAUGACAAUUAUGUGGGAGGGAGGCAGGAGAGGAUAUAUUGUUUAAUGAUAUCCUUCCUAACUUGCGCUAGCAAGUUCUAUAUCUUAGCAGAGUUUAAACAUUCCCCUUUAAACCAGGGGUCAGUAAACUUUUUCAGCAGGGGGCCAGUCCACUGUCCCUCAGACCUUGUGGGGGGCCGGACUAUAUUUUUUGGGGGGAUGAACAAAUUCCUAUGCCCCACAAAUAACCCAGAGAUGCAUUUUAAAUAAAAGCACACUCAUGUACUUUUACUCAUGUAAAAACACCAGGCAGGCCUCACAAAUAACCCAGAGAUGCAUUUUAAAUCAAAGGACACAUUCUACUAAUGUAAAAACACGCUGAUUCCUGGACUGUCUGUGGGACAGAUUUAGAAGGCGAUUGGGCCGCAUCUAGCCCCCGGGCUUUAGUUUGCCUACUCUUGCUUUAAACGCACAGCGGUUUGCUUGUUGCAAGUUCGUCUGAACCUCUCUAUAUAAGAUUCUUGGUAAGAUCCCUUCUUGUCCCUCUUAAAAAGAAUAGAAAUGACAAUCUUAUUAAAGUGAAUAUAAAAGCAGUUUACUCACAAUCAUUCAGUUCACAGUUGGAUCCCUGAAGGCAGACUUAGGUUACAAAACUAUAUACACAUGUGGAACUAUCCCAUAAGGGAAUAGUUCCUAAGUGACUGCGAACAGGCAGUCACUUCUGCUCACAUGUAGUACAGCAAAAUGGAGAAGAGACAAACGAAGGAGCUGUGCUCCCUUGCCCAGGUUUGGCCUCACAAACUCUAGUCACAUGCAGAGGAAGUUUUGUCCCGGCUCAGGAGGAAACAGGAAGUUUUCUCCUGGGUGAUACAAAGCAUUCCGUAGCAUAUCCACUCUAGGAAUGUUGUACUUGACUGUUAUAAUAGUGGUGCCCCGCAAGACGAAUGCCUCAGAAGACGAAAAACUCGCAAGACGAAAGGGUUUUUCGUUUUUUGAGGUGCUUCGUAAGACGAAUUUCCCUAUGGGCUUGCUUCGCAAGACGAAACGUCUUGCGAGUUUGUUUCCUUUUGAAGCGGGAACUGGGCUGGCAGGGAGCGAGCGAGGGAGCGACCUACCUUUUCCAGAGGGAUCCUCUUCUGGAGAGGGCACAGAGGAGGCAGGUGGGCUGGGAUCCAGCGGAUCUGGCUGGGUCUCUGCGCCGCCGCCACCUUUGCCUCUCUCUUUCUCUCCCCCUCCCCACGUGGCUGCUCCAUUUUGCCCUACCUGCGCGAAGGCAGGAGGAGGCGGGACAAAGGAGGAGGAGGAGGAGGCAUCCACUGCACUUGGGCCGCCGUGAAGGCGCCUUUGCGGGGGUGGGAAAAAGCCGGGAGCAGCUGCCGAGACUGUGGGGAGCCCGGCGGCGUGGCGCAAGGUAACGGGGGGAGCAAGGGAGAGUCCGCGCCGGGCGCUUCGUGCGUCCGCCCUCGGUUCCUGGGCUCGAACUGCCUUUGGCACCUCGUGGAGAGAGAGGGAGAGGAGCAGGCUGGGGCUUUGGUGUGGGACGCGGUUUGGCGGAGCGAAGACGCGGCAAGGCUUGGCGACAGAGGAAGGGGGGCUGUUUUCGUGGGGAGGUGGGAGGGGGUGUCUUUGCCUCUUCCCGGCAACAGAUCCUCCAGGCUGGGGAAACUCCUCCUGCUGGGGAGUGACCCGCUUUGUGCUUUGCCCGCUAUCCCAUUAUAAUACAGUACCAGGGUGCAUCCGUGCUUCACAAGACGAAACAAUCCGCAAGACGAAGAAACUCGCAGAACGGAUUAAUUUCGUCUUGCGAGGCACCACUGUAAUAAUAAUAAUAAUAAUAAUAAUAAUAUAAUAUUAUUAUUUAUACCCCGCCCAUCUGGCUGGGCUUCCCCAGCCACUCUGGGCGGCUUCCAAAAGAAUAUUGAAAUACUGUGAUACAUCAAACAUUAAAAGCUUCCCUAAACAGGGCUGCCUUCAGAUGUCUUCUAAAAGUCUGGUAGUUGUUGUUCUCUUUGACAUCUGGUGGGAGGGUGUUCCACAGGGAGGGCGCCACUACCGAGAAGGCCCUCUGCCUGGUUCCCUGUAACUUGGCUUCUCGCAGUGAGGGAACUGCCAGAAGGCCCUCAGCGCUGGACCUCAGUGUCCAGGUAGAACGAUGGGGGUAGAGACGCUCCUUCAGGUAUACUGGACUGAGGCCGUUUAGGGCUUUAAAGGUCAGCACCAACACUUUGAAUUGUGCUCGGAAACAUACUGGGAGCCAAUGUAGGUCUUUAAAGACCGGUGUUAUAUGGUCUCGGCGGCCGCUCCCAGUCACCAGUCUGGCUGCUGCGUUCUGGAUUAGUUGUAGUUUCCGGGUCACCUUCAAAGGUAGCCCCACGUAGAGCGCAUUGCAGUAGUCCAAGCGGGAGAUAACCAGAGCAUGCACCACACUGGCGAGACAGUCCACAGGCAGAUAGGGUCUCAGCCUGUGUACCAGAUGGAGCUGGUACACAGCUGCCCUGGACACGGAUUUAACCUGUGCCUCCAUGGACAGCUGUGAGUCCAAAAUGACUCCCAGGCUGCGCACCUCGUCCUUCAGGGGCACAAUUACCCCAUUCAGGACCAGGGAAUCCUCCACACCUGCCCGCCUCCUGUCCCCCAGAAACAGUACUUCUGUCUUGUCAGGAUUCAAUCUCAAUCUGUUUGCCGCCAUCCAUCCUCCAACCGCCUCCAGACACUCACACAGGACCGUCACCGCCUUCACUGGUUCUGAUUUGAAAGAGAGGUAGAGCUGGGUAUCAUCCGCAUACUGAUGAACACCCAGCCCAAAACCCUGAUGAUCUCUCCCAGCGGCUGCAUGUAGAUGUUGAAAAGCAUGGGGGAGAGGACAGAACCCUGAGGCACCCCACAAGUGAGAGCCCAGGGGUCUGAACACUCAUCCCCCACCACCACUUUCUGAACACGGCCCAGGAGGAAGGAGCGGAACCACUGUAUGACAGUGCCCCCAGCUCCCAGCCCCUCAAGACGGUCCAGAAGGAGUUUCACAUCCCACAAAUAUAGGAGAUGGGAUAUGGCAGAGUCAGAUGAUGAUGAUGAUGAUUUAUACCCUGCCCAUCUGGCUGGGUGUCCCCAGCCACUCUGGGCAGCUUAUAGCAUGCUUCUCACAUGUUGGGAACAGGGAGAGGAAUCUUCACUUCACCAUCGUAAGAGAUUGCCUCCUUCCAUGAAAGCCUGCUCACACCCUUAGACUUGGCAGAGGGGCCCUUUUAUGUCCUAUCAAUGAUGACUGGACCUAAUGGUCAGGGGUCCCUUUACCUUUACUAAACUGCAUUAACUGAACGGCUUUGUCAGAGAGGUAAGAAAACGUUUUCUCUAUAACGGCCACUCAAGGGCUAAUGUUCAUCAAUUGUUCGGUUACAAACAAAAUCCUGGUUCUUUGCGUUUAAGAUUUAAGAGUCCUUGUAAAACUGAAGAUGUGAGGAAAUGUUUCUUUCUGAUUUACAGGUUGCGCAGCUUUUGACGGUUCUGAGCUCUGCUUCUUUAUGGGUUUCUUUGGCUUGUUCAAGAAAGAUGGAAUUGCCACUUCGCUGUAUUGAAGCUGGUAAUCCUUUCUCCUUCCCUUUUGAACUGCCUUUUAGAAAAAGAAUGGAAUGGCUAUUUGUGCCUGAUUGAUGUUUUGGUUGUGAGAAACCUAAAACUUUGGGAAAUCAUUGCAAGAUCCAUUUUCCAUGUUCCUAGCACUUUUGAUAGCCAUUUGUUGAUUUUAUUUCAGACCAACUUAGAAACACGAGCAGGUGUAUUUAUACUGCAAAGCAAGCCCUGUCUUCCUUGCAAGGAUUGUCAACCUGGUGCCCGUGGGCACCAGCACACCCACCAGUAACUCUUAUGGUGCCCCUAGUGGUCCUUGAGUUUCAUUUAGGUGGUCUGUGGCGUGUUUGUAAAAAUACAAUUAAAAAUCAUACAGCAUCUAAAUAUAGCACAUUACAGUUACUACAAACAGCAGAAAAGAGAUUUUAAGGGUCACAAUCCCCAAAUUUUAUUCCAAUCCUUGGGAAGAAUUUGUGUGCUAGUAUCUAGUUACCAUAUUUUUUAGGGGUUCCAUAGAUCUGUAAGUCACAUUAAGCAACACGGAGUACGAUUUAGAAACUAAUCCUCCCCUCCCCCACUCAUUGUGCUUAUAAAACUUUUCAAAUUGUGUUAAGGGUCUCAGAGCUUCAUUUGAUUUAAAUAAAUCCAGUUAGUAUUAAGAUUCGACAAAGUUAAAUUUAUAUGGCUAAUAGAUACAGGUUGAUUGUUGAUAUAGAAAUGUUGUAAUGUGUAUUAACCUUUGGAUCCCCAGGGUUCAAAUUGCUUAUCUCUACCUUGCUGGGGGGAAAAAUCCGGCUGAUGUAAUAUUGGGAUUAAUGGAAAAGUUAUAGGUGCAAUCUUAGGUUGCCAGGUUUUCCAUAGCCAAAUAGUACAAUUCUAUAUUUCCAGUACUGAUUGAACUGCUUCCUUAUUGCUGAAUAUUCCUUAUUAUCCUGAUUAUUUUUUGCUCCUUCAGAAGCAAUUCUAAAGUGACGUACCUGUAAUUCAAUGAAACAGGCAUUAUCCAGGAAACACACCGAUUGUGGACAAGUGACAAUGAAAAGGAAAGCAUAGCUAAUAACUGCAAAUAGAAGGCCACAAAACACAGUGCCGGUGGAGAUGGAAACAGCAGCUCCUGCAAUUAAAAAGAGGGAAAGGGUUACGUAUUUUUAAAUUUUGAAAUGUGUCAAGCUUCUAGUAUUUGGGAGGCAUAUGGGUGGACGAUUACCUGUUUGUUUGUUUGUUUGUUUGUUUGUUUGUUUGUUUGUUUACAACUGAUUAGCAUAAUGCCUGUCAUGACAAUGAGGAGAAUGUAUAUGGAGGUACAUGUCUUAGACUGAGUCAGAACUA